GCCAAGGCACUACAAGCAGAACAACCUGCACUGCCACCAGGCGUGCCCCGAGGGCUCCGUGCAGCCCGGCCACCUGUGGAGCUGCUAAACCAGGGUCCUGCUCCCGGGGUCGCCCUGCAGAGGGAGUCCCACCUUGGUGCCCACCGAGCGGGGUGCCCGGGUGGGCAGCCUCACCUGCUUGCAAC